rnacentral:misc_RNA from 1 species
AGUCCUACCUGAUUUGAGGCCAGAUGUCAGAGUAAAGUUGUCCAACUCAAGGACGGUUAGAAGCACAAGCUUAUGUUACUUCACGACCACGGCGCAGAUAAUUAUCACACCGAAGCGAUCUGUUACACUCGCGCUAAUGCAUUUAAGAGGAGCCGACUCAACAUGAAGCCAGCACAAGCCUCCAAGUCCAAGCCUUCGAUAACUUAACAAAAUUAAGUUAUCGAGGGUUGAGAAUACCAUGACACUCAAACAGGCAUGCUCCCCGGAAUACCAGGGAGCGCAAGGUGCGUUCAAAGAUUCGAUGAUUCAC